UCAGGCUGGUAAAACAAAAUACCUCAGACUGUUAUUUAUAAACAUGAAAUUUACAGUCCACAGUGCUGGAGGCUGGAAAGUCCAGGAUCAAGGCACCAGCAGAUUUGGUGCCUGGUGAGGGCCCUGUUUCUAACAGAUGGUGGAGGGGACAACGGAAGCCCUCAAGCUGCUUUUGUAAGGGCAAAAAUCCCCUUCACGAGGGCUCUGCCCUCACAGCCCACCUAAUCACCUCCCAAAGGCCCCACCUCCUAAUACCAACACAUCAGGGAUAAGAUUUCAACAUACACGUUUUGGAGGGACACAAACAUUCAGUCCAUACAUGAACAGCCACCUCUGUGCCACAAUGCUACUGGGACGCAGAGGUGAAGAGGUGCCACCACCGUCAAGAGGCCUUGGAGAAAGACCAUGGCACAUUAAAGAAAUAAUCGGAGGCAGCACUGGAAAAAGGAGCAUCUGGAUGCAGUAAAGACCCAUCCCUUCCCGCACUGGAGCUGUUGGCUCAUCCCUGGAAAUCACAACAAUCAAGAAUGGAGAAUCGUUCUUUUCAUCCCUUCUCACAGCAUUAUCCCAGCAACCUCAUCCCCUAACAAUGGUGUGGUCUGUGUUAUGUUUUCCCUCCAUCACUGCCCCUCCCUGCUGCUGCACAACAGAGGUGCUGUGCCCCAGAGGCCGCUGAGGUUGCAGGCCUCUCAGCCUCUGAAACAAGGCUGUGAGCGUUUGGAUGCACCCUCAGAAGGAGCUGCAUAAAUAAUCAGAUGAAAAACACCAAACCUUAACUAAAAAUGAAUUUUUUUUCCUCCAUUUUUUCCUCCAUUAAACCAGCUAAAAGAUUUUCAUGACAAUUCCCUGUAGUGUGAUAAAACAGACACCCUUGCAUGUUGCUCUGAACUAUUUGUUAGUAUUAUGUGUUUGGAAAAUAAUCUGGCAGUAUUUCAAAUGCCUUAAAAAUGUUCAUCCCUUUGUGCCCAAUAAUUCUCAUUUCUGGCAUCUGACUUUAAGGUAAUAAUUCAAAGGAAAGAAAAAGAUGUAUGUAUGAAGAUAUAUAUUGCAGUACUAGUUGGGGAAAAAAGUGGUAGAGUUUCUGUUCUUUACAGUUUUCUCCCAUGUUUUCCUCUCUAACUUACCCUUAGGCUUGGUAACAUUCAUCUCUAUGGCUCUUGAUAGAACCAGACAUAAUGACAGAAACUGGAAUUUCUCACCCAUGUUCACAACCUAAACAAGAUCUGCUAUAAAAAUAAUUUACUAUAUGACUAAUCAUACUUAGCAGAGAGCCACAUUUGAGGCCUUUUCAUUUUUAUGAGAUAUAAAAUUAUUAAAGUGCACUUAAAAUAAAAAAUUAACUUACACAUUUAUUAUUCUACUGUAAACCAGGCACUGUGCCACGGGCUGAGGAUACAGCAGUAAACAAAACAGACAUGGUCCAUGAUCUCAGAGCUGAGUAUCUGGCAGAGAUAUAAAGAAACAGACUUUUUUUUUUUUUUGAGACCGAGUCUUGCUCUGUCACCCAGGGUGGAGUGCUGGAGUGCACCGGUGUGAUCUCGGCUCACUGCAACCUCUGCCUCCUGGGUUCAAGCAAUUCUCCUGCCUCAGCCUCCUGAGUAGCUGGGAUUACAGGUACACACCACCACACUGGCUAACUUUUGCAUUUUUGUGGAGAUGGGGUUUCGCCAUGUUGGCCAGGCUGGUCUGGAACUCCUGGCCUCGAUCUGCCCCUGCUUGGCCUCUCAAAGUGCGGGGAUUACAGGCAUGAGCCACUGCGCCCAGGUGAGAAGAAACAGAUAAUUUUGAAAAACAAUUUUAUUUUCUUUUUUUCUAGAGACAGGGGUCUCACUAUGUUUCCCAGGCAGGAUUUGAGCUCUUUGGCUCAAGCAAUCUUCUUGCCUCAGCCUCCCAGUAGGUGGGACUACAGGGAUGUACCAUCAUGCCCAGCUAAGAAACAGGUAAUUAUGAUAAAGCAUGAUCAAUAUUAUGAUCAAGGAAAAUAUGGUGCACCAUGAGAAUUAAUAGCAAGGAAGAGGGUCUUAUCCUUGUUCAAUGUGGGAAGAAGAUAAGGAAUUUGGACAUCAUCCUAAGGA